CCCUUAGAUGUCCUGGGCUGCACACGCGCUACACUGACACGUUCAACGAGUUUUGCCUGCUCCGAUGGGACUGGGUAAUCUUAUGAAAGCGUGUCGUGAUGGGGAUAGAUUAUUGCAAUUAUUAAUCUUCAACGAGGAAUUCCUAGUAAGUACAAGUCAUCAGCUUGUGCUGAUUACGUCCCUGCCCUUUGUACACACCGCCCGUCGCUCCUACCGAUUGGGUGAUCCGGUGAAUAACUCGGACUGCAGCUAUUCGGGAGACCGUUAGCUUGUGGAAAGUUUAGUAAAUCUUAUCACUUAGAGGAAGGAGAAGUCGUAACA
rnacentral:rRNA from 1 species